rnacentral:rRNA from 1 species
AGUGAAGCUCUCACGAGUGGCGGACGGGUGAGUAACGCGUGGGCAACCUGCCGUAUACAGGGGGAUAACACUUAGAAAUAGGUGCUAAAACCGCAUAAGCGCACAAAGGCCGCAUGGCCGGGUGCGAAAAACUCCGGUGGUAUACGAUGGACCCGCGUCCGAUUAGCUAGUUGGCGGGAUAAGAGCCCACCAAGGCGACGAUCGGUAGCCGGCCUGAGAGGGUGACCGGCCACAUUGGGACUGAGACACGGCCCAAACUCCUACGGGAGGCAGCAGUGGGGAAUAUUGCACAAUGGGGGAAACCCUGAUGCAGCGACGCCGCGUGAGUGAAGAAGUAUUUCGGUAUGUAAAGCUCUAUCAGCAGGGAAGAAAAAAGACGGUACCUGAGUAAGAAGCCCCGGCUAACUACGUGCCAGCAGCCGCGGUAAUACGUAGGGGGCAAGCGUUAUCCGGAUUUACUGGGUGUAAAGGGAGCGUAGACGGCCAGGCAAGUCUGAAGUGAAAGCCCGGGGCUCAACCUCGGGACCGCUUUGGAAACUGCCCGGCUAGAGUGCUGGAGAGGUAAGCGGAAUUCCUAGUGUAGCCGGUGAAAUGCG